UUAUAUAGUGUACCAAGCCUGAAUACGCCCGAUCUCGUCCGAUCUCGGAAGCUAAGCAGGGUCGGGCCUGGUUAGUACUUGGAUGGGAGACCGCCUGGGAAUACCAGGUGCUGUAAGCG
ensembl:rRNA 5S_rRNA 5S ribosomal RNA